rnacentral:rRNA from 1 species
AUGUUGGCAAAACAAAGCUGGAGGCAGUUAACACAUCCUGAAACAUUAUGUGCCAAAGUUCUGCGGUCUAAAUAUUUUCCUGAUGGGAAUCUUCUUGAAGCAGGACCCAAAAAGGGGUCAUCUUAUACAUGGAAAAGCAUCUUGGCGGGGCUACAGACUUUCCGAAGAGGUCACAUUUGGUGAAUUGGUUCCGGUGAGAGAAUUAAUAUAUGGGAUGAUCAUUGGAUCCCUUCUAGCCACACUAGGAUGGUCAUAACAAGGAGGGGUAAUUCCUUGCUCCGGACAGUCGACGAACUAAUGGUUCCAGGAACUGCUAGUUGGGAUGAGGCACUUAUAAGAAGCAUCUUCCUACCUCUGGAUGCCGAGAGAAUCUUAAGAAUCCCACUGUCAGAAAAUAUUGUGGAGGACUUCGUCGCAUGGAAUAACACCAAAUCUUUCUCUUUCACUGUCCGAUCGGCGUAUUAUGUUGAAUGGGAACACCAGUUUGGAUCAAGAUGUUCAAGCAUCCAGGGCACAUCAAAUAUUAAUCCGGUUUGGGAAACGGUUUGGAAACUGGAGAUACCGAGUAAAGUGAAGAUAUUUAUUUGGCGGGCGCUUCAUGGUUUAAUCCCUGGUAUGGCAGUCUUAGCUCGCAAACAUAUUAAGGUUUCACCCCUUUGUCCCGUGUGCAAGUCUGGUCUGGAAGACAUUAAGCACUUGAUUUUCAGCUUCCCUAGAGCGAUGUCAGUAUUGGCGUGCACUUGGCUUGGAUGA